rnacentral:lncRNA from 1 species
GUCAUUAUCCAACUUUUAGAGGUGAUGGAUCAUCUGCAUAGAGGGGAAUCAAUUGCUGCAAUACUCCGUAACCGGAGACGGAGGCAAUUAUCUUUAAAACAAGCCGAUUUCAAGGAUAUAUUCAAAAAGUCAACUUCAGGCUCAAAAGAAGAAUGUUCAGAGGAUGACAAGUGUAUUCUGAGUAGGUAUGUUGUUUCAUUUUCGUAUGAAACCCGUCUAUUUUCUUUUUCCUGCUACUAUUGGUCAGAAAUCAGGUUAAUAGGUGCAGAAUAUAGUGCCGUGCUGCAGUAUCCCUGUUAAGGUGGAACAAUGGUCAUGCAAGCUGAAAAUAAUACCAAAAAAAAAAAAAAAAAGCCAAACCCUAGCUGCUUUUAUUAAAUAAAGCUGCAUUGUGUGGUAUGCACAGUGCAGUCUUUAAAAAAAAAAAAAUAUAUAUAUAUAUAUAUACAUACUGCAGUCAACGCUUUCCUAACGAGGUGGCACUAUUGUGGAGUUUGAAUGGUAGAAUCAUCAUAUGGCUUUAGGGGACAGGAGGAUUUAAAGGAGGUGCCUUGCAGCCCUAUUUUGCAGAUUGGAAGCAUCGGUUUCAGGGCACUGGCAGGAUCCUUGGCUUGUUCUCCGCGGCAGCCACUGCUGUGUCAGUACAGUGUGGAAUGGAAGUCCUAGUUGGUAGUCUGUUAUGGAAACGCUGUUUACUGUUAUUGUAGUACCGUGGUGACAACAUGCCAUUGAAAUGGAAAACGAGCUCUCCUGCUAUCUGGAAAUUCCCAGUUCCUGUGCUUAAAACAUCCAGGUCAACUCCACUUUCUCCAGCAUACAUAUCUCUAGUGGAAGAGGAAGACCAGCACAUGAAAUUGUCCCUUGGAAGCAGUGAAAUGGGCCUCUCUUCCCAUUUGCAGUCUUCCAAGGCUGGAACCACACGCAUCUUUACCAGCAAUACCCACAGUUCUGUGGUGUUACAGGUAAGUUCACUGUCCCUUUUACAUUAUUUACAUAGCUUCAGAAACCAUCCAGGGUUUUUUUGGUGUGGGAUGUCACUAGUGGGAGACGUUGUGCCUGUGUGUGGACAA